UUAGCGUCAGUCUGUGGUUUUUUGCCUUCCUGUCUCUCUCCAUGGCCCAAGAGCCAGGAGAACAGGGUCAGAGGCCAUUGCAUGCUUUGCCCACAGCAACUUUAAGCUGUCAUUUAGCUCUAGAUCCCUCUGGUUCUAUAUAGUUUCACUUUCUUCAUUUAAAAACAACUUUGAUCUGAAGAAUCAGAAUACCAGUAAGUAACCUAUUGAGAUUUAUGUGUGAGGCUGGUAGGAAACAUCUUAAGUGCAAUCAAAUAAUAAAUUAUAUCUAGAGGAAUUUUCAUACAGGUCUCUUCUCCUUUGAAGAAGUCAGAUGCUGCUCUGAGUUCCAAGGUUAGAAUUCUACUCUGUUUCUACUCAGGCUGGAGGCGGGUCUUCUUGUAAACUGGCAUCCAGCCACCUUCCUUCCACACAGCUGGAAUUUCUUUUGUAUUUUUUGUUUGUUUCCCCUACCUUCCCACCCCCUUCCCUCUCUUCCUUCUUUCAUUCUUGUGCUGGGGAUCAAAUCCAGGGUUUCCUGCAUGCUGGGCAAAUGUUGUGUCACUGUGCUACAUCCCCAGUUGGAGCCCUGAGGAGUCAUCCAUGUAGCAACUGGGUUGGGGCCCAGCCCUGCAAAUCCACCAGCCCUGGAGCCUCAACUGUGACCUCUCUUUUCCUCACUUGCCUUUCAGGAACAGGAAGAGCAAAUAGGUUUCAUGUUACUAUUACCAUGGUGAAUUUGGCGUUGAGGUCGAUAUAUGCGUUAGUAAAAUAAAACUCAAGAGACAUCACAUAGAAUUUGUCCAGGAUGCAGGAGAGACAAUGCCAUGGCUGGAUGGAAGGUGGUUCUAGACUUCUGAAUGUAGUCCCCAGUCCUUGGCCACUGGAAGACUCUGAGUGCAGGGAAAUGUUUCUUCUCAGCUUUGCCACAGACAAAGUGGCAAGAGUACCAUCCAUGGGACAGGGUUUCUUCUGUGGACCAGUGAGGGGUAAGGAGUGAGGCCCAGCAGUGCUGGACUCUGCUUCUGAAAUCUUCAGCCUUUCCAUCUCUAGGAAACCCCAGGGAAGCUGGCGAGGGUGAUUUCCCAGGAAGACGUCAUGUCUCUGAGUUCUGUGACAUGUGGACUGUCCAGACCCUGGAUGCAGUGGGCCUACCCUGGGCUAGUGGCCUUGGCUCCCUCCUGGCUUCCCUUGCUUGGACCUCGUGCAGGUGACUUACUGAGAAAGCAUCACAUGCACAGAGACUGGCCUGGGCUUUAAACAUGGUAAGCAGCUGACAUCACACACUGGGAAACACUUCCUCUGGGCUGGUGGUGCCCAGAUCCUAGGCUCCAUGAUUGUGGUGCACAGGCAUCCUGCUUCCGGUUCUCUUCUCCCUCUCUUGUGCUUCUCACCCUUCCAGACUUGCUUCAGCAUCAGAGGACAGGAAAGACCUGGGUCCUACCCCACCCUGACAAGGCUGCAGGUGACAGCUACAGAGAGGCUGAGGCAGGAAGGUGACUUAAGCUCAGCCUGUGCUACGUAUCAAGACCCUGUCUCAAACAGAUAAGUAAUUUUUUUUUUUGGCGGUACCAGGGAUCGAACUCAGGACCUUGUGCUUCCAAGGCAGGCAACAGCACCACUGAGCUAAAUUCCCAGCCCCUCAGAUGAAUAAAUUUUUAAAAUAAAAACGAGUUCCUCUUCUUGGAACCAGUUGCCUAUUAGGCUGACCCAUAUGAAAUUUCAUUUUUGUUAGUCAAAUAUUGACUAUUUUAUAUGGUUCAACCUAAUAUAUUUCCAUUACUCUGGGACAGAAGCACAUUGCAUUUAUUUAUUUAUUUAUUUAUUUGAGACAGAGGCUCAUCAUGCAAUUCAGGCUGGUCUUGAACUCGUUACAUAGCCCAGGCUGGCCUUGAACUUGUAGCGAUCCCUCUGCCUCAGCCACCAUAAAGCCCAGCUAGAUGCACAUUUUAAUGGGUAUCUGAGAUCUUAACCACUUGUGUUCCUCCUCAUCCUAUUGUUCCCUCAUCCUAUUGUUCUUAAAAAUUAUUUUUAACAACAGGAAGAAAUGGCCACAACCUGUGGACUGUACUUCAAAGGAAAAUUACCCUAGCAAGGCUCCAUCUGGCUCCAGUGUCGGGACAAUUAAGAUGACUAUUAAAGCUAGGCAUGAUGGGGCACACCUAUAAUCCUUACUCUCUGGGAGGCUGAGGCAGGAGGUUCACAGGUUCAAGUCCUGCCCAGGGAACUUAGUGAGACCUUGUCUCAAAAAUAAACAGCACUAAAAAAUAAAUGAAUAGAUAAAUAAAUAAAUAGCACUGGGUCUGGGUGUGGUGGCCUAUGCCAACCUGGGCUACAUAGUGAGUUCAAGGCCAUCUGAACUACAAAAGGAGAACAUGCCUAAAGAAAAAAAAAAAAAGCACUGGGGAUGUAGCUCAGUACAAAGGCAAGAAAGAUGACUACUGAGCACCCUUUCUUUCAUUAUUUAAAAUCAAAAAAACAACAAAAAAUGGUGCAGUGGUGCCUGCUUGUGGGUCUGGAUACUAGGGAAGCUGAAGCAGGAGGAUUAUUUGAGCCUAAGAGAUCAGGAAUAGCCUAGGCAACCUAGCAUGACCCUGUCUCAAAAAAAAAAAAAAAAAAAUUGGUCUCUGGGUAGCUCAGCCAACGCUAAAGGCUGAGACCAAUUCCAAACUUUUCCAUUUUGGGAGGUGUUUGCUUUUAUAUGGAAGCCUGAAAUAGGAUUUCUCUUCCCAUCCUGGGAGAUGUGUGGGGAGGAGGCUGCUCCCUAACCUUCCAGCCACCUCGGUGCAGGGCGGUGCUGGGCGGCCGCAGUGUGCGCUUUUGACUGAAUGCACUUGCCGUGUGCAUUCAUCGCACCAUUGUCAGUGUGUGUGUCUGGGGCUGCCUCUGGGAGUGUGUGUUUCUUUCUGUGUCUGCGUGUCAGUGUCAGGCUGUGCGUGUCUAUUUAUGUCGGCCUGUCUGGGCGCGCUCAGUGCGACAAGGAGCUGGGGGUGGUUCUGGUUAAGAGGGAAGGCAUUUCAGAGCCCCAGCUCUUCCCCUGGGCUGGGGAGGACAUGGACAGAUGUCCAUGCCCUAUGGACGGGUACAGGGGUUCCCGUGCUGCUCAUGAUGGGGUAGCAUUCACGUGUCUGUCCAGGUGUGCCAGGAGCAGCAGCUCUGCCGACCACGAGAACACAGAUUCGCCUUCCCACCUGCCAUCACCUUGGUCUAUGGGGACCCAGUCCCUUCUCAGCACACCGUCUUCUCUCUAAUUUAUUAGCUGGGAUGGAGGAGAAAAUGAAAUGUUGCCUGAAGACAAUGGCUGAGACAGCAGGUCGCACCCAGCACAGGCGCCUACACCUCUCGCCCCAUCCCUGUCUCACCUCUUUAGUUGGGUCGCUGCACAUACUCUGCUAAGCCUGCAGUAAGCAAAAAAGACCCCCAAGCCAUUCUAUAAAAAUACACCCGCUUGGACAUGCAGAAGUAGCUGCAGACCGCUGAGGACAGGACAGACCAAGAAGAUGAAGGUUCCAGCCAAGUUCAGAUCUGCUGGGCCAAUAGACACAAGGCCCCUCAUCCCCUGCCCGGUGCCCCAACCUCUAAAUCCCAGCCCUUCUCCCCAGCUCCCAGCCAGGCAGUGGAGGGGAAAGGGGCCCAAGGCAGCUGCAAGGGCUGUGUUAGUAAACACUUUCCUGGGUUCCCAUUUUCUUCCCCCCACCCCACCCUUUCCACUCCCCUAUGGCCCUUACACACUCCCACCCCCAGCAUCCCCCUUUCUGUGGCCUGCACAAUGAACUCAUUGUCCCGGGUGUGAUUUGAAUAAGGGAUCGGGCGGGCCUGUUCCCAGCAUUGUCCAAGGGGCUGGGAAAAACCCCAGCACAGGCAGGAGGACCAGACCAGACAGAGACAGAUGCCUAAAUUAGCAACAAAGCUUUGUGCAGGUCCCCCGGACAAGGGCUCGCCUUGUUUGCGUGGACUCGAGGGUGUGGAGCUGGCCGGCUGCUUGCAUGUCUCCCCAUGUUAAUUAGUUUUGCAUGCAUGUCUGAGAAGGUGCCAAGGGAGAUGUGUUUGCCUUUCCCUGGGAGGGGGCCCUGUUUGUGGUUGGCCAGCAGGCUGAGGGCCCUGCAGCUGAGAAGGGCUGGGCCUACUUGGGGAGCCAGACUCUGAGCCUGGGGGGGGUCUCCUCCAUCUCUGUCCUUGGAGGUGCCUGGCUUUGCUCCCUGUGCCCCUCCACUGCUACUCUGCUCAUCAGAGGGUUGGUCAGCCCUGAUGACAGGGAGCUCACUGGCUUCCACCCGGACCCAGGCCAAUGCCUGUCCAUCUGGCAGUCUGCCUCUUGCAACACAGGGCCCUUUGGGACCGGGCAGCAGAAGCGACCAGUCUGGUCUCUCCUCCAUCCCUGAGCCAGAUGGCCAGUCUGCUGAUUGCAUUAUGGCCUCCCCUGUCCCCAGACCCCUGCUGCCUGUGGUGGGCCAAGAUCUUGUUUAGGAUAUGAUGAGAAGACCCCUCUCAGGCCUUUGUUGAGUCCUGACCUGAAAGGAAUGGGAUCUGAUAGGCAGGGCACAAGGCAUGGCCUGGCCACCACCUUGCUGUGUGACUGGGCAGGCCAGGCUCCCCAAGCCUAGAGUCCCCAUUUUCUCACUGGCAAGAUGAGUGAGGUGAACUUCAGGAAUCUCUUUGUUCCUUUCUACUUGAAGAGUCUGUGAUGGUGGUGGCGGUGCUGAUCCCUUCAAACCUGUGCUCAUUCAGUACAACAACAAGAAUGGGAGCAUGGAUUCUGACUGGGGGCGGAGAAUGUAUCUCAGGAAGGAUUUCAUCUCCACCUACACUCAGGUGCAGACCUGUGUUUUCGGAUCAGGCUGAGGAGCAGGAACAGGCAGAGCUAUCUUCUCAGGCCCUUAAAGUCCUCCUCCACAGCCUGAGCCUUAUCCUCGGCCCCUAUGCAGCAGUGGUGGGAAACAGGCUAUGGCCAGUGGGAGAGGCUGGCCAUGGCCACAUAGGAGAUGCUGGAGGGAGAGCAGCUAUUGGUUGAGGUCCUGGGUGUGUCCUAGUCACCCUCUGCAGGCCCUGGGACAGGGGACAGGGGACAGGGCUGAGCAGGGGCUGGAUGCCUGCGAAGCAGAUCUGAGCUAGUUUAUACCUGCAUUUUUGCCCCCUCCCCAGUCCCACUCAGUAACCAGUAACCGGGGAGCAGCACCAUUCCUCUUGGUCAUGUGUGUGGGUCUUUCUCAGGACUCAGUUCUGAGGCAUUGGAUGCUUAAACUCUUUGUUGGGUGCUCCCGGCCAUUCAGCCCGCCAGCCUUGCCCUUGUCAUGUAGCCUCUGUGUUAACCGUAACUCCAAAGGCCAGUACUUCUCCCAGUCCAAGAACUCACAUGGUAAAAUUCCCAGUUCCAUCUCAUUUCUUUCAGUCCUGGUAACCCCUACGGACAAACGGGGAAUUUUGUCUCUUGUGCAUGUUUUAAGUGAGUUGGGGUGCCCCUGGUUCCAGAAAUACUGGGGUCCCAAGGAAAAGCUUGUCAUGCCCAGGUUCUCUCUUUUGUCCCCUUUUUUUUGCCUUCCCCACCCAUCUCUGACACUCCCCCUCUCUCCCCAGGUGUUGUGGGGUGCACUUUGCUCUGAGGCAGCAGCUGGCCAGAGGGACCCACAGGGAGCCCUCACUUGACCCCGGGCUCUGCCUCUAGCAGGCACCACCCUCCACUGGCUGUCCUGCGUCAAUCAGUCCCCACACUAGGGAACUGCGCACCACCUUCCCUCCCCUUCCCCAUGCUUCCCUCCAGGUCUUAGCUGCCUCAGCUGUAGCUCUGAGCCCCUUAAUCUGGUGAUCAGUAUGGUGCUAGGGGGUGGGCUGGCAGGAGCUUUAGGAGGUGACAGGGGAUCUUAGGAGUCGCACUCUGCUAAUGGAGCGUCACUGAGCAUCACGCAAAGCCUGGGAAUCACAUUCCAGGCGCGGCUCCCCCUCUGGAGGCAGCAGCCCUGACUGGGCUGGCCCCAGCAUGGGUGGUGGCCAGUGGAGGGCUGGGGCACAGGCCCGCAUGCAGUCAGCUGUCACCUGGCUUUGUUCCUUUCUGCAUGGCUAAGGUUUUAUUGUUCAGUAGCUGUCACCAACCUUACCCCAGCCCCCAAACCCUCUGGCUGCCAGUCCCAGUUAGAAGAUGCCAUCUGCACAUUUGCAGGUAUUUGUCCCCUCGGCCAGCCAGGAAAAUGCAGUAUGGUGUUGGGGACAGAUUUAUUCUAAAACCAAGCAAGUCUGCUAGACAGCAGGCCUCCUAUGUUAGACUGAUCGUCCUGAGAAAACCCAAGGAGUCAGGAGAUUGAAAUUGUGGUAACAUUUAAGCCUAGGUGGUGGUGAGGCUGUAGCCUGGCAGGAUGGGCGCAGCUUAGGCUCAGACCUUGGCUGGAGAGGAGGGGAGAGGAAUGGAUGCUAUGGGCAGAGGCCUAGCGCAAGAUCUCUGGCCAGUAGAUGCCUGAAUGUUUUGGAGCCUCCACACCCUCAUGUACAAAAUGGGAAUAAUAACUUGUACCUCUGGAGGUGCUGUGAGGAGCAUCAGCACAUAGGAAAUACUAAACAGGGUUAGUUUUCCUUCUCUCCCUUAGGUAUGGGACAGAUAUAAAGGAUCUGAACUUUUCAAGGUCAUUUAAUACAGCCAUGACUUCAGAGAUGGGGACAGUAGUGAUAUCAAAGACAUUUGAGCACUGGUUCAGCCUGGGUACUGACCGGUCAGGAUGGUAACGGGUCCAAACCAGCCCAGGGAGGAGGGUUCAGCCAGGCUGGGAUCAGUGCAUUUGUCUUUGUGUCCUUCUGCUACAUCAUGCAUCUGUUUGUCACCAGGCACAUGGACGUCUUUCAAGGGCAGCUCCUGCCAAGGUCAUGCAGUGUGGAAUCCUGGGACUUCCUUUGCAUUUGGAGCAGAUUGUCCUGUGACGGGAAGUGAUGGGACAGCCUCUUUUUCAGCUUUUAUGGAAACAGAGACAGAAGAAUGGUGACUCUUGCCAAGGUCACAGGAUUGGAAGAUGGAGCCAGGCUGCCCCGGACAUGGGAGAUCAUCAGAAGGGGAAGUGAAAAGCAGAGCAGGGGAAAAAGACUCAGCAGCCACUGUCCUGUGGUGCAGUAGUAGAGGGGCGCCAGGAUGGGGGCAACCUGGGAAUCCUGCCUGUCUGGGACUUUGCAGGAAGCCCGAGGAAGUGCACCCCAAACCUUCCCAUGGGUCCUUUGCCUUUGACUUGUUGGGAUCUCCUCCACCACUGCCCUCCUUGUCAUGCCCCACCUGGCCUGUUCUGGGCUUGGUGUACCAUGGAACACUGGCAAAGGAAGAUGUCUCCCCAUCCGCAUUUCUACGCCAAAGCACGGGGCGGGGGGGAUUCUGGGAAGUUGCUGAAGCUUGGGCUCCAGCCUGAUAGGAGUUAAUGACUCCCUCUCUGCAGCUGUCCUCCCCUUGGUGCUCCUCUUCCUCCCUCCUCCUGUCGAAGCAGGCAGGGCCUGGGCUCAGGAGCCAGGCUGCUGUGCUGUUGCCAGGGGAGCCGGGAGCCAGAUCUGAGCUAUGCAGGGAAAAGGCUCAGGCUGUCAAAGGGUCUGAGAUGAACCGCCGCCGCCCCCGUGCAGCUGGGCUCAGACGUGUCUCAGCUCUUGUUCUGUGCCUGAGAAUGGCAAAGCCCAGUGAGAGGUUCAAGGGCAAACUCGCUAUUCAUUAGUCAGGGGUUCUUGACGUCCGGUCUCUCCAAGGGAUGGGUUACCCCCCCUUCCUCUUUCUCUCCCUCCAGUGACACAUUCCUGGGUGCCUUUGGUGAGGACUAUACACCCUCCCCACAGGCCUCUGAAUAAACUCCCCUCGAGGAGACCAGGCAGGACAGAGACAAUGGUUUCAGGAAGCCAUUCAGGCGGGACCCCAGCCACACUGACCUGCCCUUUACUCCCAGGGCCCCUAUAGGCCCCUCUGUCCUGUGACUCAGGGUACCCUGGGGUCACUAGCCUGCACAAGGCUGGAGAGGAGGAAGCCACUGUGCAUUGCCCUUAAGGACACCAGGCAGCACAGUGCCAUUCUUGAUGGGCUCCUUCAGUGCUUCUGUCUCACUGGCUGGUAUUUGUGUGCCUUCUGUACCAUUCUGUGUAUAUUUUAAGACACUCUGUAAUACUGUUGGUUGGGAAGUGUAAAUUAUACAAUCUUUUCUGAAAUGUGGCUAUAUUAGAGUGUAAAGGACACACAUACUUUAUCACAAAUUGCACCACUCUGUACAUAUAUUUGCAAAAGUUCCCAAAGUAUGUGGAAGGAUGUUCAUGGGAUCUUUUUUUUUUUUUGGUAUGGGGAAUCGAACUUGGGUCCUUGCACUUGUGCAGCAGGCAGUGAAACCACUGAGCUAAAUCCCCGGCCCCGGGAUCAUUUUUUUAAAGAGUGUAAGGAAUGGAAAUGGGCCAAUGGGCCUUUUCAUAAUGGGAAUACUAUCAUAGGCAGCUAUAAAAGUCCAUAUGGUGGGUCUCUCUCUAUAGAUUGACAUGGAAGGUUGGUCAGUGUGUAUUAUUGGGUGAGUAGAAUAAAUUGUAGAACAGGUAAUAGGAAUGAUCUUAUUUGUUUAUAUUUAAAAGUCAGAUAUAGGAGCUGGGCAUGUAGCUCAGUGGUAGAGCAUGUGCUUAACAUAUACAGGCCCUGAGUUUGAUCCCCAGCACCCAACCCACCCAGGUGGGCUAAAUCUAUGUGUGGUGUCACACUCCGGAAAUUCCAGCAUUCUGCGAGGCUGAAGCAGAAGGAUUGCAAAUUCAAGCCAAGCCUGAAUGUCUUAGUGAGACCUUGUCUCAAGAUAAGGGGGGGAGGAUACAGCUCAGUGGCGCUGUGCCUGCCUCAUAAGUGUAAGGUCCUGAGUUCGAUCCCUGGUGCCCAAAGGCGGGGGUGCUGGGGCAGAGUGCUGGGAAUGUAGAUCACUGCAAAGACUCCAAGUUCACUCCCAAGCACCCCCCCCCAAGUCAUAAGUAUGCUUAUACAUAGAUAUUUCUAAAAAUAUAUAUUGGACAGCUACCUCUGGGAAUUGGGGAUGGAGGGAUGUACUCUUCCAUACGAUUAUAUUUUCUUUCCAGGUUAGUGUUUGAUUGAUUGAUUGAUUUUUUUGUGGUACUGAGGAUUGAACCCAGGGCCUUUAUACUGAGCUACAUCCCUACAGUCCCAGCCCUUUUUUAUAUUUUUAUUUUGAGACAGGCUCUCACUAAGUUGCUAAGUUGCCCAAGUUGGCCUCAAACUUGCUAUCCUCCUGCCUCAGCCUCCCAGCAUGCUGGGAUUACAGGUGUUCACCAUCGUGCCUAGCUCCAUGUUAGUGAAACAGUUUAUGAAACAUGGGGCUAUUUAAUAUACUAGGCUUAACUUCUGUCAACCAACUUGGGGUAGGCACUCCAUGGUGUUGGUGGUGACUGGAAAAAGCAUGCCAGAAUCACCAAUGGCCUUUGCCAUUGGCCUUUCCAGUAAUCACCUAUCAUCAUCAUAGCUGCUAGUGUUAAUCAAAAGCCUAGCAAGUGCCAGGCUUCAUUUCUCUGGUUUUGCUUAGGUAGGUGUCAUUGGUUUGCUCCUGCUCCUUGGCAGGUGAGGGGUGGAGUCAGCCUGACCCAGGCUGGGGGAAGGUGGGUGUGGUCUCCAUUUUCCACCAGUGGACCUGGCCUCUGAUCCCUCCAGAGCUGCCUAUUGGGGCAGGAGGAAGCCCCAGGGUCGUGCCACACAGUGGACCAUGAAUUGCAGGGAGAUGUCCCCAUCCCUUUAGCCCCAACUGGGGUGUCAUCGAACUGGGGUUAGGAGGUGGACCAGGCUGUGAAAGGCCCUAUUUGCAUAAGCAGCCUGUAUUUAGAGAGAAAGACAUCAUUGCACUAGGCUUCUAGGCCUCUCAGAGCACCAGUUGCCACCCCUGGUUCAUGAGGCAGGGAAAGAGAUGGAAAACCUACAGGUCAGGAAGCAGCUAGGGUCAACCUCAAAUCUGCUGCCAGCUAUCCAGCGAGGAAGAAGCAUUAAGAGCCUCCACUGUAGUAGAGAGUCAAGCAGAUGCCAGGUCACUUGCUUUGAUGCAGUGAAUUCUCAAUUUUACCCAUUAUGGGUGCUAUUGAUACACUUACUGUAUCAAUGAGGACAUCAAGAUCAGAAAAGUUAAGGGCUGGGGAUUUAGCUCAGUGGUUCAGUUGCUUGCCUUGCAAGUGCAAGGACCCAAGUUCAAUCCCUGGUACCAAAAAAAAAAAAAUCAGAAAAGUUAAGUUAGAGGCCCCAAGUCACUCAGCUAAAAAGUGCCAGAACUGAGAUUCAAGGCCAGUUCUUAUUGACUCUAAGGUCUAUACUCAUAACCCCAAAGAUGUCUUGUUUGGGUCACUCUAAGGAGGUCCCAGAGUGGCAACCCCUUCUGGCCAGCCUCACAAGCACAGACAUUAACUUUCCUGCAAGGUCACUUCCAAUAGUCCUGUGCCUUUAGGGUCUCCUGGGGUGUGCUCAGCCUGGGGUAGCAGAGUAUCACAGAGUAUUACAGAGCCAAAUGCAGUCCCAGGGCCUUUGGUGAGUGUUGCUGCUAACUGCUGCUGCCGCCUAGCCUCCUGGCUGCUGGUCACCUGCACUAUUCUAGACCCCUCUUCGUCCAUCCUUGACCUGAAGGAGCUUGCAAGAAGGGGCCUAAGCCCAGUGCUUCUGAGAACUGGCCUGGUGGGGAAGAUGGAGCCUGGAGAAGCAGGAAUGGGAGUCACUGGGAUUCCUCCAAGGCCACUGGGUCCCCCUGGAUGGUCCUGAGACUGCCCCAGUCCUGGGAAAGAGACCCCUUUCCACCUUGUGAACCCUCUGCUUUUCCUGCCUCAGCCCACAGUGAAUAAAAUUUCUUUGCAAAGCC